UACGCGAAGACCUUACCUGGGGUUAAAUCACAGAUGCAAGGCGCAGAGAUGCGUCCCCCUCGCAAGAGGCGUCUGUGAAGGUGCUGCAUGGCUGUCGUCAGCGCGUGUCGUGAGAUGUUGGGUUAAGUCCCGCAACGAGCGCAACCCUUACCACUAGUUGCCAGCAUUAAGUUGGGAACUCUAGCGGAACUGCCGGUGAUAAACCGGAGGAAGGUGGGGAUGAUGUCAAGUCAUCAUGGCCUUUAUGUCCAGGGCUACACACGUGCUACAAUGGCCGGUACAAACCGUAGCAAACUUGCGAAAGGGAGCCAAUCGGAAAAAGCCGGUCUCAGUUCGGAUUGGAGUCUGCAACUCGACUCCAUGAAGUUGGAAUCGCUAGUAAUCGCAGAUCAGCACGCUGCGGUGAAUACGUUCCCGGGUCUUGUACACACCG
rnacentral:rRNA from 1 species